rnacentral:lncRNA from 1 species
GAACUUUAAUACCGUGAUAGGAAAUAGGGUGAGGGGUCCUUACUUGUUUUCGAGAUCCGAAUACGAUUCACAGUGCGCCUGCAGGCCGUCCCUAAUUUUCCCUGAAUUUUUUUUCCCGGGAAACUGAAACACACUAACAGUACCUGCACGUGUUCCAAAAAAAUCCAAAUUAGGCCCAGGGCCUCUUUCGGCCCAAAUCGCAACUCCGGCACGGCGGCUCCGCCGUGCUCCGGCGACGGCGCCGCCGCUGGCAGCGGCGAGUCGCCUCGGGUUGGCUGUUUUCGGCCACACUCGCAUUGGUCCUUGUUAGAAAACAACCCUAGGGCCUCGGGGGGCCAAAAAAUCACGGAAAAA